GAGGCUAUAGCUCAAGUGGUAGAAUGCCUGCUUAGCAUGCAGGAGGUCCUGGGUUCAAUUCCCAGUACCUCCU
rfam:Camelus ferus unplaced genomic scaffold scaffold1815, whole genome shotgun sequence.